UUUAAUAUUUUUAUGUAAUAAAAAGUAAAAGUCCUUGUCCAACCAUCCUUGUAGGGCAUCUGCCUGUCUGUCUGUCUCUCACGCCGGUCACUCAAGUUAAUGGGGAAGAAAGAAACAGGGGGGCCCAAGUCUGAGGUUAUAAAUAAUAGAAAAUAAAAGAUCUUCCGUCUCCAGCGGGGGAUAGAUGAGAGGAUGGGAGGGCAAGAUGGGGUGGGGAUGGGCAGGGGCAGAGCAGGAACCCCCCACCCCCGCUGGACCCUGGCCCUGCCCACUUCGAGCCCCGCCCCCCCUUCAAGGUGCUUGGCAGGAAUUCCCCAGCUCCCCCGGGGUAAAGGGGGGUUUGGGGGGCUGGGACUGGUCCGAGCUGCUGGGGGAAGAGACAUAGAUCACUCUUCCCUCCACUCAUGGAGGUCUCAGGUCGCGGCCAGGACAAUCUUCAGUUCCCCGGGGGGUGGAAGGGGAGCUGCUGGGAGGGAUGAGAUUGAACUGGUUGGAGGGGAAAGAGAAGAGAGCAGGAGCAUUAGAACCCAAGCAGCUGUCCCUUCAUCCAAUGCCGUCCAGUGUGGGGUGUGGGGGGAGUGUGUGGGUAGGAGCGGCCUCCUCAAGGUGUCUCAUGGGGCUGUCAGAAGCACAGAUCAAUCGCUGUUUCCCAGUGAGCCAGAGCCCUUACUCGUGUGCCCAGCUCAGCCCCCCACACCCCAGCCUGGCCCUGUCUGCUGCGCUGACCUUACCUCGGCUAAGUCAGGAGACAGUCGGGGUCACUGAGAGCUGGGGAGGCAGUGGGGAGGGGGGCUGCUGGAUCACAACUGAGCGAGGACGGAGGGAAGCAAAGGACAGAGCCAGGAGCAAGCCCCUGGCGGCGGCGACUGUGGCUUCUGCCCACCCUACAUACUUCACAGACAGGUGCAGGUCGGCGGGCGCCCUGUGGGACAGCCCUGCCUCCAAGACCCCUCACUCCCCUCCCAGAACCCGUGCAUCCUGCCCCACCUGCAGCCCAUCAGCUCUUCCAUGCCAAAUUCCCCCAGCUAACGAGAACUCACGAAUCCUGUCAUCGGCUCCUCCUGGAAAUCCAGGCGCCUGGCCAGGCUGCUCACCUUGGGGGUGUCCGAUGUAGGGGUAGGGUGAGGGUGUGGAAGCUGAGAGUGCAGGCACCCCACUCUGGGGCACUGCGCCUUGGGGGGGGCCCCCAUGGCUCUGGGGUGGGUGCAGCAGCAUCACCUGGGGCGGGUGGGGAGCCCCAGGGUGAGGGGGCGGGGCUGCUGUGAUUCCAGUUUGGACAUGGGCCUGCAGAAAACAACAAAAAAUCCCAGCUGGGAGCACCCCAGAAGCUACACACAGGCUCCGAGAAGCCUGGCGUUCAGACCACUGAGGAAAGGGGCAGCAGGAUAGCCCCAGGACCCGGGUCCUGAUGGCAAAACAGACCCAUAGAAAGCAAGUCCCUUGGGCUCUUACCUGGGUAACAUGGGCCAUGUUGGUGAAGCCGUGGGGCAGCUGCUGGUGGGCAUGGAUGGCAUACACAGCGGCUGGCUGGGGGAAGCUGCUCUGAGGGGACUGGGCAGAAGGUCCCGGUGGCAGAGAAGGCGGCGUGCCUGUCAGGGCCCCUGGGUGGUACAGAUUCUGCUGUGGCUGUCCACUGCCCAGGUGUGGGGCCUGCCCCGCCUGGUGCUGUUAGGGGGAGGGGAAGGGUGAGUGCCACCCCACUCCUCGGGUACCAGGCCUACCCCCCCCACCGACUCCCGACCCUGCCCGAAGGGAAUGAGCCCCUAGCUCCAUCCCCCUCCUCCAGCCGCCCACUCCUGCCCCAACCACUCGGAUCCCCCAUGGCAGGCACCUGGACGGGACUGGGGGCCGCAUGCUGGGACUGCGGCUGGCUCCCAGUAGGCGUGGUGGCCGGCUGCGGCUGGUGGGCAUGGAGCUGCGUAGCAUGGUGUGGAUAGGACUGGUGAACGGUGGCUACAGCAGGAAAGAGGGAAGGGAUCAGCGCCAAGCACACCGGAGAGGGCUAAGGAGCAGUCUUCGGGAAGGGCACAGAACUCACCAUACAGGGCUUGGGGGGUGGGCUGCUCUGCAGAAGGGUACUGAGGGGUGGAGGACGACACAAUGGCCUGGGGAUGGCUCCCCGACGUCAGCAUGCGUGGGUUGCUCUGAAGCAUGGGGGCGAACACCGGCUGGAAGGACAAGAGAGGAGCAGUGGGCAUGUCACGCUGCCCGAUAACCCGUACACGGCACGACUCCGGCUUUGCCGCAACCACCUUGUUUAACGUUCACAAGGGCGCAAGCAAGGAGACGCCGUUUUACCUGCGCUUUAGAGAGUACCAGUGCUUUGCUACGGGUCCUGCUGGAGCCAGGACCGAAACCCGAGUGACCCUCAGCUCUGUACUCCUGUCUCCCUCCCGUGCCUCAGUUACCUGCGAGGGGUAGUGGGCCAUUGGCUGCAUCAUGGCAGGCUGGCCCGGGAACUGCUGCGGGGUGUAGGGGAUGUAGGAAGAGUACGGUGUGGCAGCCACAAGAGGGGGGCCAGCGGCGGCGGCGGCCUGCAUCAUCGGAGGGGCUGAGGCUGGCUGGUGUUGGUCCGAGCGCUGCGGGGGCAGGGAGCCUGGGGAAAGGGAGAGAAUGUCAAGCUUAAGUUCCAUCUGCCAGGAGGCAUCGAGGCAGCACCACCCCCCUGCCGCCGGAGCAGCCCUGCCAACUCUGCUCACCUUUUGCUCCCCGGUACUUGCCCUGCUGUCCAGGCACGGAAUUGGAUACAGGAUAUGGAUACAUCUGAGGUGCCUACGAACAAGGAUACAAAUGAGGCUGAACAGCUUGCUAACAAAUGCCCAGAACAGGCCUGACCCGGUCCUCACCAGCCCAGCCAAGCCUCUUAGCCUAGACUCACUCGGUUUCUCCUCUUACCUGAACAGCUGGUCCCAUGUGGAUCUGAGGUAUGUAGGAAAUGUACUGGGGGCUAUAGAGCCCACUCUGGCCUGCUGUGAGCACCGGGAUGGAAGGAGUUGAGUGAGUCCGGGGCCCCGGAGAAGUCGGGGUACUGGUGGAUUUAUUCUGUAGUAAGACACAACAGAGGAUGCGUGCAUUUUGAUCUCUGUAUGCCCCUCCUGGGCUUAUAACAGUAACGGAGCACUGCACGCCAGAUACACUCUACCCUUCAUCUUGCUUAAGCCUCACGCUGAACCCCCUGAGACGAGUAUUCUCAAAAUACAGGUGAGGAAACAAAAGCCAAAAAGUUAGAUGGUUUGUCAUUCAAGCCAAAAUCAGGGAUCUGAAUGAAACCUAUGUUCAGAACUAGCCCAACACACAUACUCCCUGAGCUAAACCCUAAACACAUAAAAACCUGCCACACAUAUCGUGACCCCUCGCCCCCAACCCUGACACAUUUGCCCUAGAGCAGCCCUACUUUCACAACCUCUCUCCCCAUGCUCUCUCCCCCCACUUCCAAGCCUCCCUCAGAGAAACCAGUCCACCUUCGCCCAUUCCAUCUCACCACAGACAGCAGAGGCUUUGUGGGAUUAAAUUCCUUGGCAUUGGGGUUCAGCGUGGACUUCUUCACUUGUCUGUGACAGAAAAACAAAGUCAAUCUUCACAGUUUGCUCAUCUCCCCCGACACCUGCCCAGCUCCCCAUCCUACUCACUCGGCAACAGGGCCCUCAUCCUUGUCGUCUCCCUUGGUGAGGCCCACCGGGGGGCUGCCAGUCUGGCUUGGGCAAGGUGGCGGGGGCUGCUCUGGCCCCUCGGUGGCUCCUGCCGGUGGCAGGGGUGCUUUGUCCUCCUUAUCCGAUACGGACUCUGUCUUGGAGGAGACUGGGGACCCCAUUGGCUCUGAAGUCAAUAGACCAUCAACCUCCUUCUCUUUNGGGGGGGGGGGGGGCUGCUCUGGCCCCUCGGUGGCUCCUGCCGGUGGCAGGGGUGCUUUGUCCUCCUUAUCCGAUACGGACUCUGUCUUGGAGGAGACUGGGGACCCCAUUGGCUCUGAAGUCAAUAGACCAUCAACCUCCUUCUCUUUCCCUUUGGCCUCCUCCUUUAAGAUCCGGGGAGGAAAAGGAUCCAGGCUGGUCUCAGGGGAGCUACUGGACUGCAGCUGGAAGGAGAAAAGCACACAUACAGUGCCCAGACAGCUGGUCCAGACCCCAGGCGUGGCUUCCUUCCUUCCUUCCUCCUUGCUUGGUCUCAUCUCUUCUAUUCCACCUAGUCCUGUGCCUCUUCUAUAAGCCCCCUCACCCUCCCUCCAUCCUUACACCCUGGCUCACUCCCAUACUCCUCUCACCUUAAACUGGGCCCCAAACUUUCUCAAUUCUUCCAGUUGAAAGCGUUUCUGUUCAUUCUGAAGGCCAGGGACUAUGAAAAACAGUGAAAAAGGAAAAAAUACGCAUUUCUUUUUUCAAGGUGGCUACAAUGCCAGUAGCCCAAAGGACGAAGAAAACAAGAAAAAAAAAAAAAAAGGCUUGAGAGUUCUAUAGAAUUAUGAUCACAUGACUGACAAGCUACUGUUUCCCAAACCCCAACAAAACUCUUGGUACUAACUGAGGUGCUCUCCUAAUUAAAAGGACACUUCAGCGGGGGGUGGGGGUGGAAAUCCUCACCUUUCCCAGCUAUCCGGGACAGCUCCUGGGAUUCCAGAGUUCUCCCAGGUUCCUUGGCUGGAAGUUCUUUUACUGAGCAAGAAGAGACACAUGCCUGAAGGUCCUUCUGUCCAGAACCACACUUCACAUUGUCCACAAGCCCUCAACCAUGUGGCUCUUACCAUCUGUGGGGGCCAAUGAGAUCUUUGGAGAAGCUGGGGAAAUGGAGCCUACUCCAGGAUCCACAACUGACGAUGUCACAGGGAUGGAAGCUGAAGAGGUUGGUACUGCUGAGCCAAUGGGGGGCUCAGGACAGGAAGCCGACUUGGGAGAGCGUGGGGGAUACAUCCGGCCCACUGGAAGAAAAGGGAAAGCUGUACGAUGGUUACUGCUGGUCAGUGCACAAUGGGCAUAGGGAACCUACUAGAAACACCAAAUCAAGUUUAUCUGUUUUUUUUAAAAAUUAUUUGUAAUGUUUGUUUAUUUUUGGAGAGAGAGACAGAGCAUGAGCAGGGGAGGGGCAGUGAGAGUGAGAGAGAGAGAGAGAGAGGCAGAACUGGAUCCGGACUCUGAGCUGUCAGCCCAGAGCUGGAUGAGGGGCUUGAACUCAAGAGCUAGGAGAUCAUGACCUGAGGUGAUGUCAGAUGCUCAACCGACUGAGCCACCCAGGCGCCCCCACCCCUUUUCCUUUAAUAUGCAAGGUCAAACCUAAAUUCCUAGAAGAGCAAGGCAGGUAACCUAAUCAGGUAAAACAGAUUCCUGGGCACCAUAAAAGAUAAGAAUGUUUUACAGGAGCAGACUCACUGUGCAGAACUUUCUGUAUUUCCAAAGAAGUUGAAAAUUUUCUAUUUCUCCUGUCUUAAAAUGCUGACAACUGGGACACCUGGGUGGCUCAGUCAGUUAAGCGGCCAGACUCUUGAUUUUGGCUCAGGUCAUGAUCUCAUGGUUUGUGAGACUGGGCCCCUGAAUUUGGCUCCAUGCUGACAGCUCAGAGUCCGCUUGGGAUAUUUCUCUCUCUCUUUUCUCCCCUCCCCUGAGCAUGCUCUCAUAUUAAACAUUUUAAAAAAUAAGUAAAAUGUUAACUUAAAAGUUUGUUACUGUUGUUUUUUAAAGUAAGCUCUAUGGGGGCGCCUGGGUGGCGCAGUCGGUUAAGCGUCCGACUUCAGCCAGGUCACGAUCUCGCGGUCCGUGAGUUCGAGCCCCGCGUCAGGCUCUGGGCUGAUGGCUCGGAGCCUGGAGCCUGUUUCCGAUUCUGUGUCUCCCUUUCUCUCAGCCCCUCCCCCGUUCAUGCUCUGUCUCUCUCUGUCCCAAAAAUAAAUAAACGUUGAAAAAAAAAAAAAAAUUUAAAGUAAGCUCUAUGCCCAAUGUGGGGCUUGAACUCACAACCCUGAGAUCAAGAGUCACGUGCUCCUCUGAGCCAACCAGUCACCCUGACAACUAAUUUAAACAAAAGACAUCUGACAACCAAACACAAACCAUGGAUUGCUACAUUGGUAUUUCUACGGGAGGGAAACAAAUUUCUUUUCUAAAAAGCAUAAACUCAAAACCCCCAAAACAUCUCUUUCAUCUGGGAACGGUCUCCCAACCCAGCUUUCCAACAACUGACAUUUACAUCCCCCACAAAUUUUUAUUUCUUCAUAUAACACUGCUGAAAUUUUACCUGCAGGAGGAGGUGGAACAGAAGCUUCUCCAGAGGGCCUACUGCUGGGUGAAGACAGAGUCUUGGCACCACCUCUCAGAGGCCGCUGUGCCUUAGGGGACAUGCGGGAAGGGCCUAUUUUUUUUUUUUUUUAAGAUGGGGAAAAAAGAGGCAGAGUAUCUGCUAUUACAUUAUCACCAACGCAUCACCCUUCCAACCCACCUAUCCUUUCAAUUCUCCUUCCCACUUCCUUCCUAUCGGCUUCCCUACCACCGCCCCCUGCCCCCCAAAGCCCGCUUAACUCACCUCCAUUGAUACCACGUGUCUCAGAACCUGGGCUGGGGCUGCUAUUGUCAAGAUGGUGAGGGCCACGAGGUGGCAAAGAGCUAAGGCCAGGGCGGCCACCCCGGGAACUACUGCAUCGAACUCCUCCCCGGGGACCUUCCCGAACUCGUUGGGGUAGAGGGAUAUACUUUCCCUCCCU
rnacentral:lncRNA from 1 species